GAUGAACGCUGGCGGCGUGCCUAAUACAUGCAAGUCGAGCGAACGGACGAGAAGCUUGCUUUUCUGAUGUUAGCGGCGGACGGGUGAGUAAAACGUGGAUAACCUACCUAUAAGACUGGGAUAACUUCUGGAAAUCGGAGCUAAUACCGGAUAAUAUUUUGAACUGCAUGGUUCAAAAGUGAAAGACGGUCUUGCUGUCACUGAUAGAUGGAUCCGCGCUGCAUUAGCUAGUUGGUAAGGUAAUGGCUUACCAAGGCAACGAUGCAUAGCCGACGUGAGAGGGUGAUCGGGCACACUGGAGCUGAGACACGGUCCAGACUCCUACGGGAGGCAGCGGUAGGGAAUCUUCCGCAAUGGGCGAAAGCCUGACGGAGCAACGCCGCGUGAGUGAUGGAGAUCUUCGGAUCGUAAAACUCUGUUAUUAGGGAAGGACAUAUGUGUAAGUAACUGUGCACAUCUUGACGGUACCUAAUCAGAAAGCCCCGGCUAACUACGUG
rnacentral:rRNA from 1 species